UGGGCGCAAGCCUGAUCCAGCAAUGCCGCGUGUGUGAAGAAGGCCUUCGGGUUGUAAAGCACUUUUGUCCGGAAAGAAAACCUCUGGGUUAAUACCCCGGGGGGAUGACGGUACCGGAAGAAUAAGCACCGGCUAACUACGUGCCAGCAGCCGCGGUAAUACGUAGGGUGCAAGCGUUAAUCGGAAUUACUGGGCGUAAAGCGUGCGCAGGCGGUGAUGCAAGACCGAUGUGAAAUCCCCGGGCUUAACCUGGGAACUGCAUUGGUGACUGCAUCGCUAGAGUAUGGCAGAGGGGGGUAGAAUUCCACGUGUAGCAGUGAAAUGCGUAGAGAUGUGGAGGAAUACCGAUGGCGAAGGCAGCCCCCUGGGCCAAUACUGACGCUCAUGCACGAAAGCGUGGGGAGCAAACAGGAUUAGAUACCCUGGUAGUCCACGCCCUAAACGAUGUCAACUGGUUGUCGGGCCUUCAUUGGCUUGGUAACGUA
rnacentral:rRNA from 1 species